rnacentral:rRNA from 1 species
GACCCCUACGGGGCGCAGCAGUGAGGAAUAUUGGUCAAUGGGCGAGAGCCUGAACCAGCCAAGUCGCGUGAAGGAAGAAGGAUCUAUGGUUUAUAAACUUCUUUUAUAGGGGAAUAAAGGUAUCCACGUGUGGAUAUUUGCAUGUACCCUAUGAAUAAGCAUCGGCUAACUCCGUGCCAGCAGCCGCGGUAAUACGGAGGAUGCGAGCGUUAUCCGGAUUUAUUGGGUUUAAAGGGUGCGUAGGUUGUUUUUUAAGUCAGCGGUGAAAGUUUGUGGCUCAACCAUAAAAUUGCCGUUGAAACUGG